rnacentral:rRNA from 1 species
ACGGGUUAGUAACGCGUGGGAACAUACCCUUUUCUACGGAAUAGCCUCGGGAAACUGAGAGUAAUACCGUAUAAGCCCUUCGGGGGAAAGAUUUAUCGGGAAAGGAUUGGCCCGCGUUAGAUUAGAUAGUUGGUGGGGUAAUGGCCUACCAAGUCUACGAUCUAUAGCUGGUUUUAGAGGAUGAUCAGCAACACUGGGACUGAGACACGGCCCAGACUCCUACGGGAGGCAGCAGUGGGGAAUCUUAGACAAUGGGCGCAAGCCUGAUCUAGCCAUGCCGCGUGUGUGAUGAAGGCCUUAGGGUCGUAAAGCACUUUCGCUAGGGAUGAUAAUGACAGUACCUAGUAAAGAAACCCCGGCUAACUCCGUGCCAGCAGCCGCGGUAAUACGGAGGGGGUUAGCGUUGUUCGGAAUUACUGGGCGUAAAGCGUACGUAGGCGGAUCAGAAAGUAUGGGGUGAAAUCCCGAGGCUCAACCUCGGAACUGCCUCAUAAACUCCUGGUCUUGAGUUCGAGAGAGGUGAGUGGAAUUCCAAGUGUAGAGGUGAAAUUCGUAGAUAUUUGGAGGAACACCAGUGGCGAAGGCGGCUCACUGGCUCGAUACUGACGCUGAGGUACGAAAGUGUGGGGAGCAAACAGGAUUAGAUACCCUGGUAGUCCACACCGUAAACGAUG